CGGGCCCGUAGCGCAGAGGCAGGCGCACCGGUCUCCAAAAUCGGAGGACAUCGGUUCGAAUCCGAUCGGGCCCGUC
rnacentral:tRNA from 1 species